rnacentral:rRNA from 1 species
ACUCCUACGGGAGGCAGCAGUGGGGAAUAUUGCACAAUGGGCGCAAGCCUGAUGCAGCCAUGCCGCGUGUGUGAAGAAGGCCUUCGGGUUGUAAAGCACUUUCAGUUGUGAGGAAGGUGGUGUCGUUAAUAGCGGCAUCAUUUGACGUUAGCAACAGAAGAAGCACCGGCUAACUCCGUGCCAGCAGCCGCGGUAAUACGGAGGGUGCGAGCGUUAAUCGGAAUUACUGGGCGUAAAGCGCAUGCAGGUGGUUUGUUAAGUCAGAUGUGAAAGCCCGGGGCUCAACCUCGGAACUGCAUUUGAAACUGGCAGACUAGAGUACUGUAGAGGGGGGUAGAAUUUCAGGUGUAGCGGUG